rnacentral:rRNA from 1 species
UGGUGGAGCGAUUUGUCUGGUUAAUUCCGUUAACGAACGAGACCUCAGCCUGCUAAAUAGCAAACGGGAUCUUCAGCUAAGGUGAAGCGCUGGUCGUAGGGCGGUGGCUUGCCAUCGCCUUCUCUGGUGUGGAUCCUUGAUGCAUACCGCUCGGCUUCUUAGAGGGACUAUUGGUGUUUAACCAAUGGAAGUUUGAGGCAAUAACA